AGCGAACGCUGGCGGCAGGCCUAACACAUGCAAGUCGAACGAACUCUUCGGAGUUAGUGGCGGACGGGUGAGUAACACGUGGGAACGUGCCUUUUGGUUCGGAAUAACUCAGGGAAACUUGUGCUAAUACCGAAUGUGCCCUUCGGGGGAAAGAUUUAUCGCCAUUAGAGCGGCCCGCGUCUGAUUAGCUAGUUGGUGAGGUAACGGCUCACCAAGGCGACGAUCAGUAGCUGGUCUGAGAGGAUGACCAGCCACACUGGGACUGAGACACGGCCCAGACUCCUACGGGAGGCAGCAGUGGGGAAUCUUGCGCAAUGGGCGAAAGCCUGACGCAGCCAUGCCGCGUGAAUGAUGAAGGUCUUAGGGUUGUAAAAUUCUUUCACCGGGGACGAUAAUGACGGUACCCGGAGAAGAAGCCCCGGCUAACUUCGU
rnacentral:rRNA from 1 species